rnacentral:miRNA from 1 species
UGUUUUUUGCUUAUAUAUGUG